rnacentral:rRNA from 1 species
GACGUAGGGGGCUAGCGUUGUUCGGAUUUACUGGGCGUAAAGGGUGUGUAGGUUGUAAAUCAAGUCAGGUGUGAAAGCCCUGGGCUUAACCCAGGAAUUGCGCUUGAUACUAGUUUACUAGAGGACGAGAGAGGAAAGUGGAACUCCUAGUGUAGAGGUGAAAUUCGUAGAUAUUAGGAAGAACACCAGAGGCGAAGGCGGCUUUCUGGCUCGUUACUGACACUGAGGCACGAAAGCGUGGGGAGCAAACAGG